GGGGUGGAAUGAUACGCAUAUGAAAUGAUGCGUGAACUGUCCGCUGAAUCACUUUUCUUUGUUGUAAGAGGAACAGGUUCAUGAUACAAAAGCAAAACAUCAGAAAAUGUUUUUAAUCGAUGUUGAGAGGGAAAUAACACUAACAAGGCUGGGGCAUGGGCAGUGGGAGCAAGAGAGGCCUUAUAUGGCUGAUGCUGCGGGAGCUGGAUCCCUAAACAGAGGAGUGGAGAGGAGAGUCUCUCCUUUCCUGUGGUCACAUUCUUCCUCCCAUCAGGAUUCCUUGUCUUUGUUCCCUGCCUAGCACCCUUAGCAUCUGGAACAGAGCAGGUGAUGAAUAUCUCUCUGGAUCCCAUUCCUGGCUCUCCAGAGCUAUUCUACUCUGCCAAAGAGACCUCCUCCCUCUGGAAGCUCCCUCCACUCCUGGACUUCUCAGACUGGGCACAUUCCACAACGGUAGCCACUUCCUCAGAUGGAUGCUUCACCUCAGCUCCCAGCACACCCAUGGAAACUGGGGAAUCAGACCAAUGGCGAAUUUCAAAAUGCCGAAAGGAUUCUUUUCUUUUCAUCGUACACCUAGAAUCUGAAAUUUCUCCCCCAUUGAGAAUAUGGAAACAAGGGGAAAGCUAG
rnacentral:lncRNA from 1 species